AACGAACGCUGGCGGCAUGCCUAACACAUGCAAGUCGAACGAGACCUUCGGGUCUAGUGGCGCACGGGUGCGUAACGCGUGGGAACCUGCCCUAGGUUCGGAAUAACUCCCCGAAAGGGGUUCUAAUACCGGAUAAUUUCUUCGGACCAAAGAUUUAUCGCCUUUGGAUGGGCCCGCGUUGGAUUAGCUAGUUGGUAGGGUAAAAGCCUACCAAGGCGACGAUCCAUAGCUGGUCUGAGAGGAUGAUCAGCCACACUGGGACUGAGACACGGCCCAGACUCCUACGGGAGGCAGCAGUGGGGAAUAUUGGACAAUGGGCGAAAGCCUGAUCCAGCAAUGCCGCGUGAGUGAUGAAGGCCUUAGGGUUGUAAAGCUCUUUUACCCGGGAUGAUAAUGACAGUACCGGGAGAAUAAGCUCCGGCUAACUCCGUG
rnacentral:rRNA from 1 species